UGAGGAAUAUUGCGCAAUGGAGGCAACUCUGACGCAGCCAUGCCGCGUGCAGGAGGACGGCCCUAUGGGUUGUAAACUGCUUUUCUUAACUAAGAAAGAUGGAUAUUUAUAUUCAUUUGACUGGUUUUGGAAUAAGCAUCGGCUAACUCCGUGCCAGCAGCCGCGGUAAUACGGAGGAUGCAAGCGUUAUCCGGAUUCACUAGGUUUAAAGGGUGCGUAGGCGGAAGGAUAAGUCAGUGGUGAAAUCUUGCGGCUUAACCGUAAAGUUGCCAUUGAUACUGUUUUUCUUGAGUGCGGUUGAGGUAGGCGGAAUGAGUAAUGUAGCGGUGAAAUGCUUAGAUAUUACUCAGAACACCGAUUGCGUAGGCAGCUUACUAAGCCAUUACUGACGCUGAUGCACGAAAGCGUGGGUAGCAAACAGGAUUAGAUACCCUGGUAGUCUACGCAGUAAACGUUGAUUACUCGUUGUUGGCAAUACAUCGUCAGCGACUGAGCAAAAGCAUUAAGUAAUCCACCUGGGGAGUACGUCAGCAAUGAUG
rnacentral:rRNA from 1 species